UACGUAGGCGGAAAAUUAAGUCAGUAGUGAAAUCCUGCAGCUUAACUGUAGAACUGUUAUUGAUACUGGUUUUCUUGAAUAUAGUUGAGGUAGGCGGAAUGUGUAAUGUAGCGGUGAAAUGCUUAGAUAUUACACAGAACACCGAUUGCGAAGGCAGCUUACUAAGCUAUGAUUGACGCUGAGGUACGAAAGCGUGGGUAGCGAACAGGAUUAGAUACCCUGGUAGUCC
rnacentral:rRNA from 1 species